UAGUCAUAUGCUUGUCUCAAAGAUUAAGCCAUGCAUGUCUAAGUAUAAGCAACUAUACAGUGAAACUGCGAAUGGCUCAUUAAAUCAGUUAUAAUUUAUUUGAUAAACUACUUACCAAAUGGAUAACCGUGGUAAUUCUAGAGCUAAUACAUGCACGAAGCCCCGACUUCAGGAAGGGGUGUAUUUAUUAGAUAAAAAACCAAUGAGGGCAACCUCCUAGUUGGUGAGUCAUAAUAACUUGUCGAAUCGCUAAGCCUUUGGCGGCGAUGAAUCAUUC
rnacentral:rRNA from 1 species